CAUUUCAUUUGCCACCAUGGAGGCUUCUGCCAGAAGAGCGUCCCGUUGAUUACACAGAGCCUGUAUUUCUUCCUGUAGUGCCUUAAUGUGAGCUGCUUCAGUGUCCAGAGAAAUAUUUCCUGACUGAAGAAUUAGGCUUCUAUUCUCAAUACACUGCUAAACGUUUACCCAGAAAGUGAGCAGGAAGAUUGCCUUGAAAGACAUGAAGUAGCUUUUCAGACCUUUGGCCUCAGAUUUGGCUUCGUUCAUUAGACUGCAGAUAGCAAGAAGCAUGUCUAGGGACUUGAUGAUAGUAAAUGAGUUGCCACUGGUCAGACCGCAGCAAUACACGCACUCCAUCGCGUGUCUGAAAGGCAGUUAAGACAGCAGCCAGUCUUUUCAUUGAGAAUGGCACGUCGCUCCGGGCUGGCAUUGAACAGAUUAUAAAGACGAUUCACACAGCCAAAAAAGGUUGAUCAUUCUGGGCACGACUGAGCUGCAUGUACACCCACAAGAUAAAGAGUUAUGGAGGCACAAGCUGCUGUUCUGCAGGAUUCCUCCACUUCCCACCACGGCACAACGACUCAACGAACCUUUACUCCAGGUUAGCGGGUCCUGGGUCGGCCAAGGGCAUGGUGUGUAGUACCUCGUCCAGCAGCUGCAGAGCCCGGUGCAGGUGUACCUCCACCCAACAGGGGGUAUGUUUGAUGCUCUGCCGGGGGGUAGUCGGGCCCCCAGCCCUUCACAAAGCUCAGCCGCAGGAUACACAGCCUCCGAAGGUCGUCCACACCUAUCCCUGCUGCUGCAGAAAGACCUGGAAGAAAGGUAUUAGGGAUGGGCAUUUUCAAUGAUUUCACUA